AUUUGUGCUGCACAGCAGUUUGGAUACCUGUAAGCAGCCGUGCAUCCUGCUGCAUGCAUCCCCGGAACAACACGUUCGAGAGAGCAGGAGAACAAAAAGUCC
rnacentral:lncRNA from 12 species